AGAUUAAGUUAUUAAGGGCGCACGGUGGAUGCCUUGGCACUAGAAGCCGACGAAGGACGUUACUAACGACGAUAUGCUUUGGGGAGCUGUAAGUAAGCUUUGAUCCAGAGAUUUCCGAAUGGGGAAACCCGGCACGAGUUAUGUCGUGUUAUCGAUAUGUGAAUACAUAGCAUAUCUGAAGGCAGACGCGGAGAACUGAAACAUCUUAGUACCCGCAGGAAGAGAAAGAAAAAUCGAUUCCCUGAGUAGCGGCGAGCGAAACGGGAAGAGCCCAAACCAACGAGCUUGCUUGUUGGGGUUGUAGGACACUCUAUACGGAGUUACAAAAGAACAGACUAGACGAAUCAUCUGGAAAGAUGAAUCAAAGAAGGUAAUAAUCCUGUAGUCGAAAGUUUGUUCACUCUUGAGUGGAUCCUGAGUACGACGGAACACGAGAAAUUCCGUCGGAAUCUGGGAGGACCAUCUCCCAAGGCUAAAUACUCUCUAGUGACCGAUAGUGAACCAGUACCGUGAGGGAAAGGUGAAAAGUACCCCGGAAGGGGAGUGAAAUAGAACUUGAAACCGUGUGCUUACAAGUAGUCAGAGCCCGUUAAUGGGUGAUGGCGUGCCUUUUGUAGAAUGAACCGGCGAGUUACGAUUUGAUGCAAGGUUAAGCAGUGAAUGUGGAGCCGUAGCGAAAGCGAGUCUGAAUAGGGCGUUGAGUAUUUGGUCGUAGACCCGAAACCAGGUGAUCUACCCAUGACCAGGUUGAAGUUCAGGUAACACUGAAUGGAGGACCGAACCGACUUACGUUGAAAAGUGAGCGGAUGAGUUGUGGGUAGCGGAGAAAUUCCAAUCGAACCUGGAGAUAGCUGGUUCUCUCCGAAAUAGCUUUAGGGCUAGCCUCAAGUGAUGAUUAUUGGAGGUAGAGCACUGUUUGGACGAGGGGCCCUUAUCGGGUUACCGAAUUCAGACAAACUCCGAAUGCCAAUCAAUUUAACUUGGGAGUCAGAACGCGGGUGAUAAGGUCCGUGUUCGAAAGGGAAACAGCCCAGACCACCAGCUAAGGUCCCAAAAUAUAUGUUAAGUGGAAAAGGAUGUGGCGUUGCCCAGACAACUAGGAUGUUGGCUUAGAAGCAGCCAUCAUUUAAAGAGUGCGUAAUAGCUCACUAGUCGAGUGACACUGCGCCGAAAAUGUACCGGGGCUAAACAUAUUACCGAAGCUGUGGAUUGUCCGUAAGGACAAUGGUAGGAGAGCGUUCUAAGGGCGUUGAAGCAUGAUCGCAAGGACAUGUGGAGCGCUUAGAAGUGAGAAUGCCGGUGUGAGUAGCGAAAGACGGGUGAGAAUCCCGUCCACCGAUUGACUUAGGUUUCCAGAGGAAGGCUCGUCCGCUCUGGGUUAGUCGGGUCCUAAGCUGAGGCCGAUAGGCGUAGGCGAUGGAUAACAGGUUGAUAUUCCUGUACCACCAUUAUUCGUUUUAAGCGAUGGGGGGACGCAGUAGGAUAGGCGAAGCGUACGAUUGGAUUGUACGUCCAAGCAGUGAGAUUGAGUGUUAGGCAAAUCCGGCACUCUUAAGAUUGAGCUGUGAUGGGGAGAGGAAAUUGUUUCCUCGAGUCGUUGAUUUCACACUGCCAAGAAAAGCCUCUAGCUAGAAUUGUGGUGCCCGUACCGCAAACCGACACAGGUAGUCAAGAUGAGAAUUCUAAGGUGAGCGAGCGAACUCUCGUUAAGGAACUCGGCAAAAUGACCCCGUAACUUCGGGAGAAGGGGUGCUCUUUAGGGUUAACGCCCAGGAGAGCCGCAGUGAAUAGGCCCAAGCGACUGUUUAUCAAAAACACAGGUCUCUGCUAAACCGUAAGGUGAUGUAUAGGGGCUGACGCCUGCCCGGUGCUGGAAGGUUAAGAGGAGUGGUUAGCUUCUGCGAAGCUACGAAUCGAAGCCCCAGUAAACGGCGGCCGUAACUAUAACGGUCCUAAGGUAGCGAAAUUCCUUGUCGGGUAAGUUCCGACCCGCACGAAAGGCGUAACGAUUUGGGCACUGUCUCAACGAGAGACUCGGUGAAAUCAUAGUACCUGUGAAGAUGCAGGUUACCCGCGACAGGACGGAAAGACCCCGUGGAGCUUUACUGUAGUCUGAUAUUGAAAUUCGGCACAGCUUGUACAGGAUAGGUAGGAGCCUGAGAUACGUGAGCGCUAGCUUACGUGGAGGCGUUGGUGGGAUACUACCCUCGCUGUGUUGGAUUUCUAACCCGCACCAUUUAUCAUGGUGGGAGACAGUGUCAGAUGGGCAGUUUGACUGGGGCGGUCGCCUCCUAAAGAGUAACGGAGGCGCUCAAAGGUUUCCUCAGAAUGGUUGGAAAUCAUUCAUAGAGUGUAAAGGCAUAAGGAAGCUUGACUGCGAGACUUACAAGUCGAGCAGGGUCGAAAGACGGACUUAGUGAUCCGGUGGUUCCGCAUGGAAGGGCCAUCGCUCAACGGAUAAAAGCUACCCCGGGGAUAACAGGCUUAUCUCCCCCAAGAGUUCACAUCGACGGGGAGGUUUGGCACCUCGAUGUCGGCUCAUCGCAUCCUGGGGCUGUAGUCGGUCCCAAGGGUUGGGCUGUUCGCCCAUUAAAGCGGUACGCGAGCUGGGUUCAGAACGUCGUGAGACAGUUCGGUCCCUAUCCGUCGUGGGCGUAGGAAAUUUGAGAGGAGCUGUCCUUAGUACGAGAGGACCGGGAUGGACAUACCUCUGGUGUACCAGUUGUCGUGCCAACGGCAUCGCUGGGUAGCUAUGUAUGGACGGGAUAAGUGCUGAAAGCAUCUAAGCAUGAAGCCCCCCUCAAGAUGAGAUUUCCCAACUUCGGUUAUAAGAUCCCUCAAAGAUGAUGAGGUUAAUAGGUUCGAGGUGGAAGCAUAGCGAUAUGUGCAGCUGACGAAUACUAAUCGAUCGAAGACUUAAUCAAAUUUUA
rnacentral:rRNA from 1 species